GAGAGGAGCGCCCAGUUGCCGGUAGGGAAGGAAGACGCGGCACGUGACUUGGGACGCACGCAGGCCGGCGGGGCGGGGCGGGAAGUGCGCUUAGUGCCGGCGCUAGGCGGCUCUUCCCAUCUCUUAGUGGCGGCUGGGUCCCAUCAAGUGUCUUUUCAGAUCAAGAGGAACUGUACUCAAGGGGCUGUAUUUAAGGAACUGUACCCAAGAAGUUCAUCCAUACCUGGACCUCAAGCCUGAGCCUGAUAGUUUUGUGGGUAUUGGGGGAGGGAAUAAGUAUAUAUAUUUUUUGCAUGUGGAGGCAUGUGGACUCCUGUGACCAGAAGGUGGACUGUAGCAUAUGGUAUUUUUGCAUACUGGUUUCAACAGUAUUUGUGGUCGUCCAUGUUCUGCUAGAACCAUGCCACUUAGAGACUGAGUAUUUCCUCCUCUUGAACUUGGGCUGGCCUUUGAACUGAUUAAUAGAAUGUGGAGGAGCUGAUACUGUAUGACUUAGGCUGGAUCAUAAUAGGUGGUACUGUUUUUGGCUGACUCAGGACGCUUACCUUUGGAACCUAGCCACCAUACAGAAGCUAUUUGAAACUAGCCAGGGUUUCAUCUGACUGCAUCAGCCACCAAAUGUGUUAGUGAAUUAGCCUUUUUUAAUUUCAGCCCCCAGCCUUUGAGCCACCCCAGUUGAUACUGAGUGGAGCAGAGACAAGCUAUCUCCUCUGAAACCUGUUUAAAUUGCACAUUCAUGGGCAAAAGUGAGACAUAAUGAAGCCUGCUGGUGGGAGAAACCUGGCUCCACUCUGGGGCAUCUAAGGAUACACAGCUGCACAGUGAUGGAAAUAUUGUGUAAU